CCUACGGGAGGCAGCAGUGGGGAAUAUUGGACAAUGGGGGGAACCCUGAUCCAGCCAUGCCGCGUGUGUGAAGAAGGCCCUCGGGUUGUAAAGCACUUUCAGUGAGGAAGAACGCCUGGUGGUUAAUACCCAUCAGGAAAGACAUCACUCACAGAAGAAGCACCGGCUAAUUCCGUGCCAGCAGCCGCGGUAAUACGGAGGGUGCGAGCGUUAAUCGGAAUUACUGGGCGUAAAGCGCGCGUAGGUGGCUUGAUAAGCCGGUUGUGAAAGCCCCGGGCUCAACCUGGGAACGGCAUCCGGAACUGUCAAGCUAGAGUGCAGGAGAGGAAGGUAGAAUUCCCGGUGUAGCGGUGAAAUGCGUAGAGAUCGGGAGGAAUACCAGUGGCGAAGGCGGCCUUCUGGACUGACACUGACACUGAGGUGCGAAAGCGUGGGUAGCAAACAGGAUUAGAUACCCGAGUAGUC
rnacentral:rRNA from 1 species